GGCAUGGCUUGAAAUUUCGGAUCCCUAGAUUUUACACAUCUGCGGACACCUGGUAAUAAUGUCUAUAAUACACCACAUUUGCAGUAUAUAUGACGCUCAUAAUAUCUCACCUGGGCUCAACACACGAGUUGUCUUCUCUGCAGAGAUCUGAAAGAUUUUUCCUCACAGACUCAUCGAUGUGUUCAGGUUCUUCAGAGAGAUUCAUUCUGAAGGCUGUGGUUUCAUUUAAAAGCAGAUGUUUGUCCGCAGAACUCUCCAUCUGUCCAGGGGUUUUUCCUGCCUAUGACCCAGGAAAGCCUCCAGCCUCCAGCCUCCCCAUGACCCUACAUAGGACGAGUCCUUUGGAAAGUGUAUGAAAGAGUAGGUUGGAUGGAUGUACUGUACUGCGAGAGUCCUAGUCCUCCCUCUCUCUGCCACUCUUGCCCCCUCCCCCCAGUCCGCAUCGACUUCU